AUUGAACGCUGGCGGCAGGCCUAACACAUGCAAGUCGAGCGGAUGAAGGGAGCUUGCUCCUGGAUCCAGCGGCGGACGGGUGAGUAAUGCCUAGGAAUCUGCCUGGUAGUGGGGGAUAACGUCCGGAAACGGGCGCUAAUACCGCAUACGUCCUGAGGGAGAAAGUGGGGGAUCUUCGGACCUCACGCUAUCAGAUGAGCCUAGGUCGGAUUAGCUAGUUGGUGGGGUAAAGGCCUACCAAGGCGGCGAUCCGUAACUGGUCUGAGAGGAUGAUCAGUCACACUGGAACUGAGACACGGUCCAGACUCCUACGGGAGGCAGCAGUGGGGAAUAUUGGACAAUGGGCGAAAGCCUGAUCCAGCCAUGCCGCGUGUGUGAAGAAGGUCUUCGGAUUGUAAAGCACUUUAAGUUGGGAGGAAGGGCAGUAAGUUAAUACCUUGCUGUUUUGACGUUACCAACAGAAUAAGCACCGGCUAACUUCGUG
rnacentral:rRNA from 1 species